GAUGAACGCUGGCGGCGUGCCUAACACAUGCAAGUCGAACGUUAGAGUGUAGCAAUAUGCUCAAAAGUGGCGAACGGGUGAGUAACACGUAGGUAACCUGCCGCGCAGAGGGGGAUAACGACUGGAAACGGUCGCUAAUACCGCAUGGUACCAUGGGAAGGGGACUUUUCAUGGUUAAAACCUUGGUGCUGCGCGAGGGGCCUGCGUCCGAUUAGUUAGUUGGUGAGGUAACGGCUCACCAAGACGAUGAUCGGUAGCUGGUCUGAGAGGAUGAUCAGUCACACGGGAACUGAGACACGGUCCCGACUCCUACGGGUGGCAG
rnacentral:rRNA from 1 species